rnacentral:pre_miRNA from 15 species
GGCCACGGGGCUUUCCUUUGUGCUUGAUCUAACCAUGUGGUGGAACGAUAGAAACAGAACAUGGUUCUGUCAAGCACCGCGGAAAGCUCCGUGCUU